ACUCGCCUGGAAGUAGGUCAAGGGGCGUGGCUGGAGCUCUACCUCUCUGUACAGCUGCUGGUGAUUCCACUGAUUCUUACCUGCGCAGCUGUCUCUAAUUCCACUCUCCUACCUGGCAGUAUUUAUUCCUGGGCAUGGCUCUCCACCGGCGCCAGAUCGUUGCACCUACCAGUGUGACCUACACCUCGAGACCUGCUGCCGUGGCUUGCCGUGUCGCCAGCUCAUCACACUCCUGUUUUUCUACCCUCUCGUUUGGAUUUCUGCAAGAGAGUUUGGACGUUCCUCUGCCUGCCCGCCUCAGCCCCUUUCCAGCCCGGAGCCGACCUACUUUGUAUCCGCAUUCCUUGGUUACUUUUAAAGAACUGAACUUUCAUUAAAACAUUUUUGUUAUAUCAUUA